rnacentral:rRNA from 1 species
AGUGAACGCUGGCGGUAGGCCUAACACAUGCAAGUCGAACGGCAGCACAGAGGAGCUUGCUCCUUGGGUGGCGAGUGGCGGACGGGUGAGGAAUACAUCGGAAUCUACUUUUUCGUGGGGGAUAACGUAGGGAAACUUACGCUAAUACCGCAUACGACCUACGGGUGAAAGCAGGGGAUCUUCGGACCUUGCGCGAUUGAAUGAGCCGAUGUCGGAUUAGCUAGUUGGCGGGGUAAAGGCCCACCAAGGCGACGAUCCGUAGCUGGUCUGAGGGGAGGAGAAGCCACAGUGGAACUGAGACACGGUCCAGAGUCCUACGGGAGGCAGCAGUGGGGAAUAUUGGACAAUGGGCGCAAGCCUGAUCCAGCCAUACCGCGUGGGUGAAGAAGGCCUUCGGGUUGUAAAGCCCUUUUGUUGGGAAAGAAAUCCAGCCGGCUAAUACCUGGUUGGGAUGACGGUACCCAAAGAAUAAGCACCGGCUAACUUCGUGCCAGCAGCCGCCGUAAAAC